rnacentral:piRNA from 1 species
CUGGGGGGCAUCCAUCAUAUUCAUUGAUGA